GUCCAUGGGAUGGACCCGGCAGGUGGCAAGACAAACUAUGCAAAAGGAUCGUGAUGGAACCCUCAAAUAUGAAGGUGAAAAGAACUGCACAGGCAGCGAAGUCUGGCCCUGUCACCCAGGCUGGAGUGUAGGUGCAUGAUCUUGGCUCACUGCAAUCUCUGCCUCAUGGGUUCUCACAUUCUCCUGCCUCAGCCUCCCGAGUAGCUGGGACUAGAGGCACCCACCACCAUGCUUGGCUAAUUUUUUGUAUUUUUUCAUAGAGACGGGGUUUCACCAUGUUAGCCAGGAUGGUCUCGAUCUGCUGACCUCGUGAUCCGCAUGCCUCUGCCUCCCAAAGGGCUGGGAUUACAGGCGUGAACCACAGUGCCCGGCCUGAAAUCUUGAAAUAAAUGAAAAACGAGCUAAUCGCUGAACAAAAAAAUAAAAAAUCACUGUGGAAUGACAAGAACAUUCUACAAACAUUUAUAUGUGAUUUUUGCAAAAAGUGUUAAUGCCAAUGUGUAUAUGCUGAGUGAUGAGGAGAUAAGUGAUCCUGAAUCAGAGGAGCAAAUCGUGACACUGAGAAAAUAAAUGCAAAAGCUGAACG
rnacentral:lncRNA from 10 species